UGAGGAAUAUUGGGCAAUGCCCGCAAGGGUGACCCAGCAACGCCGCGUGGAGGAUGAAUGUCGUAAGAUUGUAAACUCCUGUUAGAGGGGAAGAAUAGUACCGGUUGGACCGGUAUAUGACUGUACCCUCAGAGAAAGCCCCGGCUAACUACGUGCCAGCAGCCGCGGUAAUACGUAGGGGGCAAGCGUUGUCCGGAUUUACUGGGUGUAAAGGGCGCGCAAGCGGGAUAAAAAGUCAGUGGUGAAAUCCUACAGCUUAACUGUAGAACUGCCUUUGAUACUUUUAUUCUUGAGUUCGGGAGAGAGAGACGGAAUUCCAGGUGUAGUGGUGAAAUACGUAGAUAUCUGGAAGAACACCAGUUGCGAAGGCGGUCUCUUGGUCCGACACUGACGCUGAGGCGCGAAAGCGUGGGGAGCAAACA
rnacentral:rRNA from 1 species